rnacentral:rRNA from 1 species
CAUGCAGUCGAGCGGAAGGCCCUUCGGGGUACUCGAGCGGCGAACGGGUGAGUAACACGUGAGUAACCUGCCCCAGGCUUUGGGAUAACCCUCGGAAACGGGGGCUAAUACCGGAUAUGACUUCUGACCGCAUGGUUGGGGGUGGAAAGUUUUUCGGCUUGGGAUGGGCUCGCGGCCUAUCAGCUUGUUGGUGGGGUGAUGGCCUACCAAGGCGACGACGGGUAGCCGGCCUGAGAGGGCGACCGGCCACACUGGGACUGAGACACGGCCCAGACUCCUACGGGAGGCAGCAGUGGGGAAUAUUGCACAAUGGGCGAAAGCCUGAUGCAGCGACGCCGCGUGAGGGAUGACGGCCUUCGGGUUGUAAACCUCUUUCAGCAGGGACGAAGCGCAAGUGACGGUACCUGCAGAAGAAGCGCCGGCCAACUACGUGCCAGCAGCCGCGGUAAGACGUAGGGCGCGAGCGUUGUCCGGAUUUAUUGGGCGUAAAGAGCUCGUAGGCGGCUUGUCGCGUCGACUGUGAAAACCCGCAGCUCAACUGCGGGCUUGCAGCCGAUACGGGCAGGCUAGAGUUCGGUAGGGGAGACUGGAAUUCCUGGUGUAGCGGUGAAAUGCGCAGAUAUCAGGAGGAACACCGGUGGCGAAGGCGGGUCUCUGGGCCGAUACUUGACGCUGAGGAGCGAAAGCG